GAACCCUCCAGGGUUGGUAGAUCUUGAGGACCAGGUUUGGGUAAUGGGAUUUUAAUCUCACUCUUUUGGUGCUUGCCCUCAUCCACCAGACCAGAUUCAAGUCUAAUGAGCAAGCUCCUGAUGGGGUGGGCUGGGCGUGCUGGACUGAAGGAAAAGGGACACGUGGGGUCUCCAGCGCUGACUGUGGGAACCACUGGAUUAGGCCUGCAUUCACAAACCACUUCCGAAGAGCGUUCCUCUAGAAAACAAGUCAAAAGCUGUCCUAAGUGAUCUGGGAUCAGCCUUCCAGCUCGGGGCUAGUUUGUGAAUACCAACCGGGCAGACGGCCAAGAAGCUCUACAGGACAGCAGCAGCAACAGGACCCAGUGUCCCAGACACACACAUGCACUCUCUCAGGACCUCCAGGCUUCGGCAGCAGGCGCAGGUGUCCCGCCCCGGCACAGCUCCCACAUCCGGCCACAUGCUUCAAAGAGAUGGAUUGACCAGGUCAGAAGGUCAGAGCCCCCUGGGAUAAGACGGGAUGACCUUCGCAGUCCUGUUCAGCUUGUGGUCAACCUUAAAGGACACGCUCCAGCAAUGAGGCACGUGCUCACAGCUCGAUAUCUCCAUGGUUGCCUAAGGAGCCCAUCAGCAUAAAAUUAGCAAGGUUGAUGUCCUUUAGGGUCUGGCGGCAGUAGAACUAGAUGAUGUCUAUUUGUCAUGAACUGACAUUUACGAUGCAGAUGCUAAUGAUGUCAUUUUUGGCCAUUUGUGCAAAAAAAAAAUCUUCAUUUGUUUCCAGUCAAAACGGCCAUUAAGCACACGUUAUUCAUUUUUCGGUGGACGUUUCUGAGCAGACUAGAUGUAAGAAAGUCAGCUUGCUUCAGAAAUUAGAAAGUCAAACGGAAAUAAGUGGAGUUCAAAAAAGCUACAGAGAAAAUGGGCCUCCUAGCAACCACCUGGAAAACCUGGUAGUCCCCAGAACUGUCCCCAUCAGAUAAACAGCACUGAAAGCUUUGAUCUCUGAGAGAGAGGAGAAGAU